UUGAGAAUACACAAGCUUAAAGAUUUAAGAAAUUUAGAGAUAUGUUUUAAACUUAGUAGAGGCUUAUUUUGGAUAAUUUACUUCUUUCUAGUUCUUUUAGAAUCUCAUACAUAUUUUUAUUCAUAUAAUAGCUGAUGGUCUGGAGUUUAACAUCGGGAUUCAGUUGGUGUUUUAGCAAUAUGUCAGUUCUGCUAGGAUGCG
rnacentral:misc_RNA from 1 species